UCUCUCUCUCUCUCUCUCUUGUUCACCUGUGGCUUCCUGUAAUCAUAGUUUCCUGAAUUCGCAGGUUAGUUUUUGUUGUUUUUGUUUUGUCUGCCUGACGCGUCACACACACACACACACACACACACACACACACACACACACACACACACACACACACACACACACACACACACACACACA